AAAUGGCUAAAUUUCAUUUCUUUCUAUUCAUCGCCUUUGCCGUUAUUUUUUCAGAUAUAAAAUUUUUGUAACAAAUUUUUUUGCACCUAUUUUUGUUGAUAGUUUUCAUUACGUUAAAUAAACAAGAUUUUAUUUUUUUCUAAUAAUCUGGUUUUAUUUAAACUGUUACAGUUAUGACUAGUGGUGCGAAUGGACAACAAAAAAGAUGUAUUGAACUCAUCUCAAAAGAUUCAUGUUUACUCCCAGCAUGCAGAAAGACGUGCUAUUUAAAAUAUCCGAAUAAAAAUGGUUUUGGACAGUGUGUUAGUGCAAACCCUUUUACACCAUAUAGUUGUAUUUGCGCAUAUGAUUGUCAAACCUAGAACAAAAAUAUGAUAGUUGCUCUAUAUUUAAUGUAAAAGCAUAUCAAAAUAUAGUUAAUAAAUUUCACAAAUUUACAAUUUAUGUUUUAAAAGUGCA
rnacentral:lncRNA from 1 species